CGCUUAGGCGUGUGACUGCGUACCUUUUGUAUAAUGGGUCAGCGACUUAUAUUCUGUAGCAAGGUUAACCGAAUAGGGGAGCCGAAGGGAAACCGAGUCUUAACUGGGCGUUAAGUUGCAGGGUAUAGACCCGAAACCCGGUGAUCUAGCCAUGGGCAGGUUGAAGGUUGGGUAACACUAACUGGAGGACCGAACCGACUAAUGUUGAAAAAUUAGCGGAUGACUUGUGGCUGGGGGUGAAAGGCCAAUCAAACCGGGAGAUAGCUGGUUCUCCCCGAAAGCUAUUUAGGUAGCGCCUCGUGAAUUCAUCUCCGGGGGUAGAGCACUGUUUCGGCAAGGGGGUCAUCCCGACUUACCAACCCGAUGCAAACUGCGAAUACCGGAGAAUGUUAUCACGGGAGACACACGGCGGGUGCUAACGUCCGUCGUGAAGAGGGAAACAACCCAGACCGCCAGCUAAGGUCCCAAAGUCAUGGUUAAGUGGGAAACGAUGUGGGAAGGCCCAGACAGCCAGGAUGUUGGCUUAGAAGCAGCCAUCAUUUAAAGAAAGCGUAAUAGCUCACUGGUCGAGUCGGCCUGCGCGGAAGAUGUAACGGGGCUAAACCAUGCACCGAAGCUGCGGCAGCGACGCUUAUGCGUUGUUGGGUAGGGGAGCGUUCUGUAAGCCUGUGAAGGUGUGCUGUGAGGCAUGCUGGAGGUAUCAGAAGUGCGAAUGCUGACAUAAGUAACGAUAAAGCGGGUGAAAAGCCCGCUCGCCGGAAGACCAAGGGUUCCUGUCCAACGUUAAUCGGGGCAGGGUGAGUCGACCCCUAAGGCGAGGCCGAAAGGCGUAGUCGAUGGGAAACAGGUUAAUAUUCCUGUACUUGGUGUUACUGCGAAGGGGGGACGGAGAAGGCUAUGUUGGCCGGGCGACGGUUGUCCCGGUUUAAGCGUGUAGGCUGGUUUUCCAGGCAAAUCCGGAAAAUCAAGGCUGAGGCGUGAUGACGAGGCACUACGGUGCUGAAGCAACAAAUGCCCUGCUUCC
rnacentral:rRNA from 1 species